AGACAGCAUGAAAGGACAGAAGGUCAGCAUUCCCCUUGACAAGGAUGGAAGAGGCCUUUGGGCCUUAUUACUUUCUUUCAGGCAUUACCACCUACCUUGUGGCAUCUAACCACUGUUUUUA
ensembl:snRNA